GACGAACGCUGUCGGCGUGCUUAACACAUGCAAGUCGAACGGAAAGGCCCUGCUUUUGUGGGGUGCUCGAGUGGCGAACGGGUGAGUAACACGUGAGUAACCUGCCCUUGACUUUGGGAUAACUUCAGGAAACUGGGGCUAAUACCGGAUAGGAGCUCCUGCUGCAUGGUGGGGGUUGGAAAGUUUCGGCGGUUGGGGAUGGACUCGCGGCUUAUCAGCUUGUUGGUGGGGUAGUGGCUUACCAAGGCUUUGACGGGUAGCCGGCCUGAGAGGGUGACCGGCCACAUUGGGACUGAGAUACGGCCCAGACUCCUACGGGAGGCAGCAGUGGGGAAUAUUGCACAAUGGGCGGAAGCCUGAUGCAGCAACGCCGCGUGCGGGAUGACGGCCUUCGGGUUGUAAACCGCUUUCGCCUGUGACGAAGCGUGAGUGACGGUAAUGGGUAAAGAAGCACCGGCUAACUACGUGCCAGCAGCCGCGGUGAUACGUAGGGCGCGAGCGUUGUCCGGAUUUAUUGGGCGUAAAGGGCUCGUAGGUGGUUGAUCGCGUCGGAAGUGUAAUCUUGGGGCUUAACCCUGAGCGUGCUUUCGAUACGGGUUGACUUGAGGAAGGUAGGGGAGAAUGGAAUUCCUGGUGGAGCGGUGGAAUGCGCAGAUAUCAGGAGGAACACCAGUGGCGAAGGCGGUUCUCUGGGCCUUUCCUGACGCUGAGGAGCGAAAGCGUGGGGAGCGAACAGGCUUAGAUACCCUGGUAGUCCACGCUGUAAACGGUGGGUACUAGGUGUGGGGUCCAUUCCACGGGUUCCGUGCCGUAGCUAACGCUUUAAGUACCCCGCCUGGGGAGUACGGCCGCAAGGCUAAAACUCAAAGGAAUUGACGGGGCCCCGCACAAGCGGCGGAGCAUGCGGAUUAAUUCGAUGCAACGCGUAGAACCUUACCUGGGUUUGACAUGGAUCGGGAGUGCUCAGAGAUGGGUGUGCCUCUUUUGGGGUCGGUUCACAGGUGGUGCAUGGCUGUCGUCAGCUCGUGUCGUGAGAUGUUGGGUUAAGUCCCGCAACGAGCGCAACCCUUGUUCACUGUUGCCAGCACGUUAUGGUGGGGACUCAGUGGAGACCGCCGGGGUCAACUCGGAGGAAGGUGGGGAUGACGUCAAGUCAUCAUGCCCCUUAUGUCCAGGGCUUCACGCAUGCUACAAUGGCUGGUACAGAGAGUGGCGAGCCUGUGAGGGUGAGCGAAUCUCGGAAAGCCGGUCUCAGUUCGGAUUGGGGUCUGCAACUCGACCUCAUGAAGUCGGAGUCGCUAGUAAUCGCAGAUCAGCAACGCUGCGGUGAAUACGUUCCCGGGGCU
rnacentral:rRNA from 1 species